CUUGCUGGUUAUCUGCCCUAUCUCCUCAUUAGAAUCAAACCAGGAGUAGGGUGGGGUUGGAGGAGCAGGCCUCCCUUAGGCCUACCGCUCCCUGCCCCACGGCUACCUGCAAGCCUUUGUUCUUUGUUCCAGGUCUUCUUCCCAGCCUCCAACAUCAAAGUCCCAACUGCCUCCUAUUAUAAUAUAGUCCUGGAUGACCUCUCCAUCCCCCACUUAGUCCCUCCACCUCAAAGUUCUUUAGAAUGAGGAAGAGUGGUAAGCAUACAGACUGGGUUUGAUCCUAUCUAGAAGACUUACUAUGUAUGUGGCUCUGGUUAAGUUAUCUAACCCCUGUAGAAGUAGCAUGAACACUUCACAGGAUUCAUGGGAAAUAAUAAACAUCCAAAGGCCAUCAGAGCUAUAAGUUGCACAGUUAUCUUUACUGUGUGCCAACUAAGUCAGUCCAGUCCUUUUGUAAUUUAGAACCUAUGUGGGUAUUUGUAGCCAUAGAAAAAGCAAAGAUAGGCUCUAUAAUUUGGGAAUUAUGGUACCCACGACCUGGGGUUCUAGUGAGGCUUCAGUGAAAGAUAAAGUCAAGCACCCAGAGUGUUCUGUUUCAGGAGAAUGGAGAUUAUUGCAUAAUUAGCUUAAUAUCGUAUCUCUCCCAGGCCUCGGGCCUUCAGUUGGCAACACCUUGUCUGCUUAUCCACUGUGCUACCUUGCUGCACAUUGUUAUCUGGGGUAUAUCAUUGACACUAGGAAAAUAUUUCUUUCAUUCAAUUCAAACACUGAACAAAUUCAAGCAUGUGACCUACACAAGGGAUCUCAGGAGUGAACAAAGUGGUCCAAAGUCCUGUCCUCAUUGA
rnacentral:lncRNA from 1 species